GAUACCAUUGACUGGCCCCCAUGCUCGCUUGACCUAAAUCCCAUUGAACACCUCUGGGACAUUAUGUUUUGGUCCAUGCAACGCCAGCAAGACCAAAUAACAAAGGCUUCCAAAUUUUGCACAAAUGUAGUAGACAUUACAUACAAAAGGAUACAGUCAUUAAUGUUCCACCAAAGAGGAACAUGAAGAUGAAAUCAGCUGUACGCCCUCUGAAGGACCCUUCCUCUAGCAUUCGGCAAUACCGGUAU